GCAUUUGGCCCAUAACCGUCUAAACCGUUCCCAUCCAUUAACCUGGCCAAAUGCCUUUUAAAAGUUGUUAUA